UACGAAGGGGGCGAGCGUUGUUCGGAUUUACUGGGCGUAAAGGGCGCGCAGGCGGCUCAUUUUGUCAGGCGUGAAAGCCCCGGGCUUAACCUGGGAACUGCGUUUGAUACGGGUGGGCUAGAGUUCGGGAGAGGAGAGUGGAAUUCCCAGUGUAGAGGUGAAAUUCGUAGAUAUUGGGAAGAACACCGGUGGCGAAGGCGGCUCUCUGGACCGAUACUGACGCUGAGACGCGAAAGCGUGGGGGGCAAACAGG
rnacentral:rRNA from 1 species